ACGCGUGGGAAUCUACCUUAAAGUGGGGAAUAACUAUUGGAAACGAUAGCUAAUACCGCAUAAUCCCUUUGGGGCAAAGGCUUCGGCCGCUUUUAGAUGAGCCCGCGUUAGAUUAGGCUGUUGGUGAGGUAAUGGCUCACCAAACCUGUAAUCUAUAGCUGGUCUGAGAGGACGAUCAGCCACACUGGGACUGAGACACGGCCCAGACUCCUACGGGAGGCAGCAGUGGGGAAUAUUGGACAAUGGGGGAAACCCUGAUCCAGCAAUGCCGCGUGAGUGAUGAAGGCCUUAGGGUUGUAAAACUCUUUCAGAAGUGAAGAUGAUGACGGUAACUUCAGAAGAAGCUCCGGCUAACUCCGUGCCAGCAGCCGCGGUAAUACGGAGGGAGCUAGCGUUGUUCGGAAUUACUGGGCGUAAAGAGCGUGUAGGCUGUUAGGUAAGUCAGAGGUGAAAUCCCUAAGCUCAACUUAGGAACUGCCUUUGAUACUAUCUUACUAGAGAUCGAGAGAAGUUAGCGGAACUCCAAGUGUAGAGGUGAAAUUCGUAGAUAUUUGGAAGAACACCAGUGGCGAAAGCGGCUAACUGGCUCGUAUCUGACGCUGAGACGCGAAAGCGUGGGUAGCAAACAGGAUUAGAUACCCUGGUAGUCCACGCCGUAAACGAUGUGUGCUAGCCGUUUGUGAUUUAUCACAAGUGGUGCAGCUAACGCGUAAGCACACCG
rnacentral:rRNA from 1 species